rnacentral:rRNA from 1 species
GAUGAACGCUGGCGGCGUGCUUAACACAUGCAAGUCGAACGGUGAAGCAGGAGCUUGCUCUUGUGGAUCAGUGGCGAACGGGUGAGUAACACGUGAGCAACCUGCCCCUGACUCAGGGAUAAGCGCUGGAAACGGCGUCUAAUACUGGAUAUGUGAUGCGUCCGCAUGGUCUGCAUCUGGAAAGAAUUUCGGUCGGGGAUGGGCUCGCGACCUAUCAGCUUGUUGGUGAGGUAAUGGCUCACCAAGGCGUCGACGGGUAGCCGGCCUGAGAGGGUGACCGGCCACACUGGGACUGAGACACGGCCCAGACUCCUACGGGAGGCAGCAGUGGGGAAUAUUGCACAAUGGGCGGAAGCCUGAUGCAGCAACGCCGCGUGAGGGAUGACGGCCUUCGGGUUGUAAACCUCUUUUAGCAGGGAAGAAGCGAAAGUGACGGUACCUGCAGAAAAAGCACCGGCUAACUACGUGCCAGCAGCCGCCGCCG